rnacentral:misc_RNA from 1 species
AAACCUUCAAGCAUAGCUUGGUGUUGGGUGCUUGUCCUCCCCAGCGGUGGACUCACCUCAAAUGCAUUGGCGGCCGGUAUGUUGGCUUCGAGCGCAGUACAACGCGCCUGGUGUCUAGACGUGCUGGUCCUCCACAAGACCUUCUUUAAGC